AGGUUGAUAGGUCUGAGGUGGAAGCGUGGUGACACGUGGAGCUGACAGAUACUAAUAGAUCGAGGACUUAACCACAUUU
rnacentral:rRNA from 1 species